rnacentral:rRNA from 1 species
GAUCAUGGCUCAGGAUGAACGCUGGCGGCGUGCUUAACACAUGCAAGUCGAACGAAGCACUUAAGAUUGAUUCUUUGGAUGACGUCUUUUGCGACUUAGUGGCGGACGGGUGAGUAACGCGUGGGUAACCUGCCUCACACAGGGGGAGUAACAGUUAGAAAUGACUGCUAAUACCGCAUAACCCGAUAGGAUCGCGAUGAUCCAGACGGAAAAGAUUUAUCGGUGUGAGAUGGACCCG